UACGGAGGGUGCAAACGUUGCUCGGAAUUACUGGGCGUAAAGCGCACGUAGGCGGAUCUGUAAGUCAGGGGUGAAAUCCCGGGGCUCAACCUCGGAACUGCCUUUGAUACUGCAAAUCUCGAGUCCGGAAGAGGUGAGUGGAAUUCCUAGUGUAGAGGUGAAAUUCGUAGAUAUUAGGAAGAACACCAGUGGCGAAGGCGGCUCACUGGUCCGGUACUGACGCUGAGGUGCGAAAGCGUGGGGAGCAAACAGG
rnacentral:rRNA from 1 species